CGCACGGUGGCUUAGUGGUUAGCACGUUCGCCUCACACUGCCAGUGUCGGGGUUUGAUUCCCACGGCUCUGUGUGU